rnacentral:rRNA from 1 species
AACGAACGCUGGCGGCAUGCCUAACACAUGCAAGUCGAACGAGACCUUCGGGUCUAGUGGCGCACGGGUGCGUAACGCGUGGGAACCUGCCCUUAGGUUCGGAAUAACUCCCCGAAAGGGGUGCUAAUACCGGAUAAUGUCUUCGGACCAAAGAUUUAUCGCCUUUGGAUGGGCCCGCGUUGGAUUAGCUGGUUGGUAGGGUAAAAGCCUACCAAGGCGACGAUCCAUAGCUGGUCUGAGAGGAUGAUCAGCCACACUGGGACUGAGAAACGGCCCAGACUCCUACGGGAGGCAGCAGUGGGGAAUAUUGGACAAUGGGGGAAGGCCUGAUCCAGCAAUGCCGCGUGAGUGAUGAAGGCCUUAGGGUUGUAAAGCUCUUUUACCCGGGAUGAUAAUGACAGUACCGGGAGAAUAAGCUCCGGCUAACUCCGUG